rnacentral:snRNA from 1 species
AUGCUCACUUUGCCAGCACAUACACUAAAAUUGAAAUGAUACAGAGAUUAGCAUGGCCUCUGAGCAAGGAUGACAUGAAAAUUCAUGCAGUAUUUCAUAUUCUC